rnacentral:rRNA from 1 species
AGUGAACGCUGGCGGUAGGCCUAACACAUGCAAGUCGAACGGCAGCACAGUAAGAGCUUGCUCUUACGGGUGGCGAGUGGCGGACGGGUGAGGAAUAUAUCGGAAUCUACUUUUUCGGGUGGGAUAACGUAGGGAAACUUACGCUAAUACCGCAUACGACCUACGGGUGAAAGCAGGGGAUCUUCGGACCUUGCGCGAUUGAAUGAGCCGAUGUCGGAUUAGCUGGUUGGCGGGGUAAAGGCCCACCAAGGCGACGAUCCGUAGCUGGUGUGAGAGGCUGGUCGGCCACACUGGAACUGAGACACGGUCCAGACUACUACGGGAGGCAGCAGUGGGGAAUAUUGGGCAAUGGGCGCAAGCAUGAUCCAGCCAUAGCGAGUGGGUGAAGAAGGCGUUCGGGUUGUAAAGCCCUUUUGUUGGGAAAGAAAAGCAGCAGGUUAAUACCCUGCUGUUCUGACGGUAACGAAAGAAUAAGCACCGGCUAACUUCGUG